GACGAACGCUGGCGGCGUGCUUAACACAUGCAAGUCGAACGGUGAAGCCCUUCGGGGUGGAUCAGUGGCGAACGGGUGAGUAACACGUGAGCAACCUGCCCCUCGCUCUGGGACAACCACUGGAAACGGUGGCUAAUACCGUAUACGACCCGCCUCGGCAUCGAGUGUGGGUGGAAAGUUUUUCGGCUGGGGAUGGGCUCGCGGCCUAUCAGCUUGUUGGUGAGGUGAAGGCUCACCAAGGCGACGACGGGUAGCCGGCCUGAGAGGGCGACCGGCCACACUGGGACUGAGACACGGCGCAGACUCCUACGGGAGGCAGCAGUGGGGAAUCUGGCACAAUGGGCGAGAGCCUGAUGCAGCGACGCCGCGUGAGGGAUGACGGCCUUCGGGUUGUAAACCUCUUUCAGCUCAGAAGAAGCGAAAGUGACGGUAGGAGCAGAAGAAGCACCGGCUAACUACGUG
rnacentral:rRNA from 1 species